ACUUGCUUUGGCAGCAGAUAUAUACUAAAAUCAGGAAAAUACAGCGGAGAUUAACAUGGCCCCUUUACAAGGAUGGCACACAAAUUCAUGAAACGCUCCAUAAAAAU